AAUUUUGAUUUGGUGUUUUUUUUUUUUUUUGCGAUUCUCAGGAGCUGGUUCUUUAGUUUUGGGGCAAUCGAAAUUCUUAUCGUGGAAUAUUGAGGAUUAGGAAUUUCGGCAAAAUGGGGAUUGUUAAGAAAUAUGGUUAAUUUUCAUAAAGUAGACAUGGUACUAAGUUCAGGAAACUAACUUUAGGAGAUUUCAAAUGAAAGGAUUCAAAGGAUAUGGCUUGAUGCAAAUUAUAGCAAGUGCUUCUUGACUACAGUUGGAAAUUCGGGUGGAUUGUUAAUGAUUUGGGACAAGGUUAUA
rnacentral:lncRNA from 1 species